AUUGAACGCUGGCGGCAGGCCUAACACAUGCAAGUCGAGCGGGGUGAUGGUGCUUGCACUAUCACUUAGCGGCGGACGGGUGAGUAAUGCUUAGGAAUCUGCCUAGUAGUGGGGGACAACAUCUCGAAAGGGAUGCUAAUACCGCAUACGUCCUACGGGAGAGAGCAGGGGAUCACUUGUGACCUUGCGCUAAUAGAUGAGCCUAAGUCGGAUUAGCUAGUUGGUGGGGUAAAGGCCUACCAAGGCGACGAUCUGUAGCGGGUCUGAGAGGAUGAUCCGCCACACUGGGACUGAGACACGGCCCAGACUCCUACGGGAGGCAGCAGUGGGGAAUAUUGGACAAUGGGGGGAACCCUGAUCCAGCCAUGCCGCGUGUGUGAAGAAGGCCUUAUGGUUGUAAAGCACUUUAAGCGAGGAGGAGGCUCUUUUGGUUAAUACCCAAGAUGAGUGGACGUUACUCGCAGAAUAAGCACCGGCUAACUCUGUGCCAGCAGCCGCCGUAA
rnacentral:rRNA from 1 species